CAACGAAGGAAGCAUGGUAACAUGCAUAGAAAUUGAAUUGGAUCUCUAGGCUUGCCCUCUCUAAUGCUAUUUGGCUUUGAUUUGGGGGCAUGGUUACGCAACAAAACG